AAGUCGAACGAAGUAGCAAUACUUAGUGGCAGACGGGUGAGUAACAUGUGGGUAUCUGCCCUUUGGCCUGGAAUAACACGAGGAAACUUGUGCUAAUACCGGAUAAGUCUUUACAGAGAAAGCUUUAUGCACCAUUGGAUGAGCCCGCACUUGAUUAGUUUGUUGGUAGGGUAACGGCCUACCAAGACUGUGAUCAAUAGCUGAUUUGAGAGGAUGAUCAGCCACAUUGGGACUGAGACACGGCCCAAACUCCUACGGGAGGCAGCAGUGGGGAAUCUUGCACAAUGGAGGAAACUCUGAUGCAGCGAUGCCGCGUGAGUGAAGAAGGCCUUUGGGUUGUAAAGCUCUUUCGUCGGGGAAGAAAAUGACUGUACCCGAAUAAGAAGGUCCGGCUAACUUCGUGCCAGCAGCCGCGGUAAUACGAAAGGGACCUAGCGUAGUUCGGAAUUACUGGGCUUAAAGAGUUCGUAGGUGGUUGAAAAAAGUUGGUGGUGAAAUCCCA
rnacentral:rRNA from 1 species